rnacentral:rRNA from 1 species
CUGCCCAAUGAAAAAUUUAAUGGCCGCAGUAUUUUGACUGUGCAAAGGUAGCAUAAUAAAUAGUCUUUUAAUUGAAGACUGGAAUGAAUGAGGGGAUGAAAUUUAAACUGUCUCAUAUUAAAGAAUAAAAAUUUAUUUUAAGUAAAAAAUCUUAAAUAAUUUUAAGGGACGAGAAGACCCUAUAGAAUUUUAAAUUUUUUUUUAAAUUAAAAAAAUAUUAAUAUAGGUUUAAUUUAAUUAAAAAUUUUUUAUUGGGAGGAUAUUAAAAUUUAAUUAACUUUUAAUUUUAAAUUACAUUAAUUAAUGAAUUUAUGAGUAUUAGUUGUAUAAAAAGAUAAAAUUACCUUAGGGAUAACAGCGUAAUAAAUUUUUAAAGUUCAAAUUGAAAAAUUUGUUUGCGACCUCGAUGUUGAAUUAAAAUAUAAUUUAAGUGAAGUAGCUUAAUAUUU